CAGUCGCCGCGGGAAUACGUAGGUGGCGAGCGUUGUCCGGAAUUAUUGGGCGUAAAGGGAGCGCAGGCGGACAUAUAAGUCCAUCUUAAAAGUGCGGGGCUCAACCCCGUGAGGGGAUGGAAACUGUAUGCCUUGAGUGCAGGAGAGGAAAGCGGAAUUCCCAGUGUAGCGGUGAAAUGCGUAGAUAUUGGGAGGAACACCAGUGGCGAAGGCGGCUUUCUGGACUGUAACUGACGCUGAGGCUCGAAAGCCAGGGGAGCGAACGGGAUUAGAUACCCGUGUAGUCCCUGUCUCUUAUACA
rnacentral:rRNA from 1 species